rnacentral:tRNA from 1 species
GGACCCGUAGCCUAGCCUGGAUAGGGCGACAGCCUUCUAAGCUGUAGAUCCUGGGUUCGAAUCCCAGCGGGUCCG